CAGUCGCCGCGGUAAUACGAAGGGUGCAAGCGUUAAUCGGAAUUACUGGGCGUAAAGCGUGCGUAGGCGGUUUGUUAAGUCUGUUGUGAAAUCCCCGGGCUCAACCUGGGAAUGGCAAUGGAUACUGGCAAGCUAGAGUGUGUCAGAGGAUGGUGGAAUUCCCGGUGUAGCGGUGAAAUGCGUAGAGAUCGGGAGGAACAUCAGUGGCGAAGGCGGCCAUCUGGGACAACACUGACGCUGAAGCACGAAAGCGUGGGGAGCAAACAGGAUUAGAUACCCCGGUAGUCCCUGUCUCUUAUAC
rnacentral:rRNA from 1 species